rnacentral:rRNA from 1 species
CAUGAAGCUGGAAUCGCUAGUAAUCGCGGAUCAGAAUGCCGCGGUGAAUACGUUCCCGGGUCUUGUACACACCGCCCGUCACACCAUGGGAGCCGGAAAUGCCCGAAGUCAGUGGCUUAACCGAAAGGGGAGAGCUGCCGAAGGCAGGUCUGGUAACUGGGGUGAAGUCGUAACAAGGUAGC